rnacentral:lncRNA from 1 species
AACAAUAAACUGUCACAAAAUCUCACAAAUAUUCUAGAAAUAUCUAACAUAUAUUUUCAUUGAACCUAGCCCUAACUGCUUGUCCUGAACCCAUCUCUAAUACAAUUAUUCAUUGAUAAAUAAUUACUAACUAAACAGUAUCUGGCACAGUUGCUGGUUGAGAACCAAAGUGCCAGUUAGCAACCAACUUUUUAUAACUGUCAACAUAAUAUUAAAAAAGAUGGUAUUUAAUUGUAUGGCUAAUUGUUUAUUAAUUAUCAAGGUCCCGGGACGAAAGGCGAAGACCAGUCUCUGAAAUCUCCCAGCGAUGCUGAGAAUGUUAAAGGCGUUUAUGCAAAUGAUGAGAUAGAAAAAUAGCAGCUCUACUUCUGUGAAUUGUCUGGUGGAGAAACUUAAACUGCAUAAUGAGGAUUUCGCAUCGUAUCAUCUAUCGCAAGGACAUUCUUUUUUAGAAAUGAGCAGUAAACUUUUUAUGAAUGUGAAGUUAGUUUGUUUUGUUCGCCAGUUGUAAACUUUUCAGUUGAAUUGCUGCACUGUGCAGGGAAUUGGAAUUUUAUUUUAUUUUUUUCUCCAAACUGUCCACACUGUUUGCAUAUCAUCAGUU